UAAUUGUGGUGGGGGCAAAGGGUUUGCAAUUUUUUGUAUCUUUCCUAUGCUUGAUAUAAAGCUUCGUUGUCCUUUUGGACAAAAGAAGAAAUUUUUUCUUUUAAAGCA
rnacentral:snoRNA from 1 species